UUUUUUUUAAGUUAAGGUCACGCAAUAACUUUUAAAACUACUACCUAUGCACCCAACUGUAUUUCCCAAAGUGUAGAACUUUUAGAAGUCUUAGUUCACCCAGCCAUAUUUAAAGUUUGCUACUUCCAGACUUGUUUCUUUUCCACUGCCCAGUGUAAAAGCCUUUCUGUCUUUUUUACUGGGUCACUGACUGUGAUUAAGCUCCUCCAACCCACUGCACAAAGACUUUUAACAUUGAUUUAUCAGGUUUGGUCACUUUCACAUCUCACACAUCACAUCUGCAACAGAGAAUUGAGUUACCUUUGUCCCCCAAUUGGCUCUAAGAUGGUAUUGUAGUGUGCUUGUAGACUAAACAUGGGGUUUUUCAGUCAUUAGCUGUGGUCCAGACCACUCUGGCGAGGACCCGUGGGGAGUUCAUUGCCUCAUUUGGGAUGUAAUUAAUCUCUAUUAAAACCACAUCCAUCUCACUCCUUACCUGACCCACAUCUCACACACAAUUUUGUGCUUCAGAACACAAACCAUUGGGAGCAUGCCUGAAGAGACAGCAAGGAAAAGGAUGAGGAGGUGGCUCCUUUCCAGGAGGUGGGAGACAGACGAUUUUAAAGGCAGGGAAAAAAAGUGGAGAUGACAUAUCUCCUGCAGUAGUGCCGUGCUCUGAUCAGUAUCACUAGCGAUGGUGUGGGGGCUUCACUGGUGACACUUGAUUGUACUGUGUAACUGUGCCGCAUAUGCCCAUAACAUGAGGCCCCCAUCACAUGGGAAGACAUCGGAAGUCAUGUGUUGCGUGCGUUGCCAUGUAGGAAGUGAUGCUGUGGAAGUUGAGGUGAUGGUUGUCUUAUUGUGCUAUUUGCCAUUAUGUUAAUGAUAACCACAUUUUCCCCUACCCUUUCUUUUCCUGUUUUCUCCAAUAACCUGAAGUCGAUGUAAUGCCAUGUUUUCAUGAAAUCUGUUUUCUUUUUCUAUGCCACUGCCCUGUUUGUUCUAAUUAGAUGCACCUGAUGCUGCUUUGACUGUGACGACCACUGAGCCUGCACACUGAGGAGGAAGCCAU